AAGUCGUAACAAGGUUUCCGUAGGUGAACCUGCGGAAGGAUCAUUAUCGAAAGCUGUAGACGUUGGUUGUGCUGGCUCUCCGGAGUAAUGUGCACGCCCGUCUCACUCUCACCUUCAUUCAACUGUGCACUUUUGACGGAUGGGAUAUCUUUCCGCUUCUCAGAGGCGGGUUUGGGGGUCAAGCGUUCACUCGCGUUUUCCCCUGCUUUCCCAUCCGUAACCCACACACACACUUUAAAAAAAUUAACCUAGAAUGUCUGAUUUGAUCCUCAGGAUCUUUAAUCUUUAAUACAACUUUUAACAACGGAUCUCUUGGCUCUC
rnacentral:misc_RNA from 1 species